CAAUAUCAAGAUUUUAUGUUUGGCCUUUAUUUUCUGUCUCCUAAAGCCAGUUUUUGCUAAGCCAACUCCUGCAAAUGUUUUUGCUUCCUCAUCAUCGCUGGAGCACAUGACUUUGAUCAACCCUGUUCAGGACAACCCCGAUGUCACAACCCCAAAACGGACCCAUUUUGUAAACACAUUGCUUGGACAAUUUGAGAGUUUGCUGGUGAAAGAUGGUACUUCUCCAGGUAAUUUGGACCAGGUGACUCAAGGAUAUCCCGAACCCUACACAAAUGCUAAAGACCCCCAGGGGCUUGUGAAGUCUCUAAUGUCUGUUCUACAGACUUACAAGAAGCAAACAGCAUCACAAGGCAAUGAUCACGUCUUCAAACUGUGGGGAAAAGCUCCAAAAACAAAGAAGAGUACCAAUGAAAUCAAACCCAGAGUCAACAUAUUGACAGACCCCACUUACUUCGAGCCACUUGUGAAAGUUAACAUGAUUUUGGGCCUCUUUUUCUAUGGUUUCAUCGUGAUAGGUACAGUAACUACAUAACA